UCCGGUUUGUCACCGGCAGUCCCAUUAGAGUGCUCAACUGAAUGUAGCAACUAAUGGCAAGGGUUGCGCUCGUUGCGGGACUUAACCCAACAUCUCACGACACGAGCUGACGACAGCCAUGCAGCACCUGUGUCCAGGUUCCCUUUCGGGGAGGAAUCCAUCUCUGGAAGCCGUCGUGGCAUGUCAAGGGCUGGUAAGGUUCUUCGCGUUGCGUCGAAUUAAACCACAUGCUCCACCGCUUGUGCGGGCCCCCGUCAAUUCAUUUGAGUUUUAAUCUUGCGACCGUACUCCCCAGGCGGUCAACUUAUCGCGUUAGCUGCGCCACCAAGGACACGAAGGUCCCCAACGGCUAGUUGACAUCGUUUACGGCGUGGACUAC
rnacentral:misc_RNA from 1 species